rnacentral:rRNA from 1 species
GAUGAACGCUAGCUACAGGCCUAACACAUGCAAGUCGAGGGGAAACGAUAGAGAUAGCUUGCUUUUUCUAGGCGUCGAGCGGAGCCAGGGCGAGUAACGCGUAUGCAACCUGGCCACCACUUGGGGAUACCCACGCGAAAGUAAGACUAAUACUAAAUGACGUCCAUAGGAUACAUCUGACAUGGAUUCAAGAUUUAUCGGUGAUGGAUUGGGAUGAGUCUGAUUAGUUUGUUGGCGGGGUAACGGCCCACCAAGGCGACGAUCAGUAGGGGUGCUGAGAGGAAGGUCCCCCACAUUGGAACUGAGACACGGUCCAAACUCGUACGGGAGGGAGCAGUGAGUAAUAUUAGUCAAUGGGCGAGAGCCUGAACCAGCCAAGUAGCGUGCAGGAUGACUGCCCUAUGGGUUGUAAACUGCUUUUAUAAGGGAAUAAAGUGUUUCUCGUGAGACGUUUUGCAGGUACCUUAUGAAUAAGGACCGGCUAAUUCCGUGCCAGCCGCCGCGGUAA